CCUACGGGGGGCAGCAGUGAGGAAUAUUGGUCAAUGGACGGAAGCCUGAACCAGCCAAGCAGCGUGCAGGAUGACGGCCCUAUGGGUUGUAAACUGCUUUUAUACGGGGAUAAAGCGCCUUACGUGUAUGGCUUUGCAUGUACCGUAUGAAUAAGGAUCGGCUAACUCCGUGCCAGCAGCCGCGGUAAUACGGAGGAUUCGAGCGUUAUCCGGAUUUAUUGGGUUUAAAGGGUGCGUAGGCGGUAUGUUAAGUUAGCGGUGAAAUGCCGGGGCUCAACCCCGGCAUUGCAGCUGAAACUGGCGGGCUUAAGUUCACGUGAGGCAGGCGGAAUGCGUCGUGUAGCGGUGAAAUGCUUAGAUAUGACGCAGAACCCCGAUUGCGAAGGCAGCUUGCCGCA
rnacentral:rRNA from 1 species